CCAGGACAUACUUUAUUCAGCUGGGUGCUGAAAAAGAAUCUUGGAAAUUAGGAAACUGAAUGAGGCCUCAUUUCACACUCAGAAUGUGGGUUGCAAUAGUCACUUCCUCUGCUGCUGGGAAAGAAAGAAUUAUACUACCUUUUGAAUUUUGGAUUAAGGAGAGAGGUGUUGGCUUGUCAAACUACCAUGUAUUCCUCAAGACAUAUUUUUGUGGCUUUAUAAAAUUCAAUAUAUAUUUCUAAAUUCAAAUAUAUUUUGUUGCAAUCUGGCCCUUGGACAAACUGAGGCCCUAGCAACUGAUGUGUAUGGCUUUCCAUAGAACCUUUCAGAUAAAAUUUACACAGCAUUUUACUGCAGCUAUUUCACACAAAGCAGAGGAUUUUGCCACAAAACUGAAAGAAAAAAGAAACUGCAUUCUUAAAUUUUUUAUAAAUCAAAAGGUAUAAAAAUAUCUACCUAAACGAUAAAGGAGAGGAGAAACCCCACCCGUGAUGGGAAGAAAGCCUAUUUCAGUUUUGCUUUUACUUCAAGUUCUUUUUUCCAUAUCUGGAAAGCAAUCGGAAUUUUAAUCUUGCCUUGGGUUCCUCCUGGAUUUGGGGAGAAGAUAAAACCUGAAAAUCUCUAAUCUGCAUGUGUUCAGCUGCGUAUCUUCCGGAUACGGAAGGAUCACACUGCACAGAGUGCUGGACUUGCAGGAGCCCCGCUUCUCAACCUCCAUCGCUUUAUGAAUGAAUUCACCAGAAAGAAAAGGAAGAAUCAACACUUUCAGAGAUGGAGCCUGUUGAGCCACAGUACCAACUAGUCGAUGCUGAAUCCGACUUCUCCCUUUCUACAUUGCCUGAGAGAAGUCACUGGGGAAUACUCUGUACACGGAUUUUCACUGUUGGGGAAAACAGAGAGUCAAGGGAUUGGAUUGUGGAUUGCAUUGGUGGUUUUCCUCAGUUUCCUCAUCUUCUCCACAAGUUUCUACACAUCAAAUGCAGAGCAGCCCUUCUUCAAAGGACCUCCUACAGAAGCUGCUAAGGAACUCAGUCUGUAGCUCUGCGUGGAGCCAUGUGUAAACACUGAACCGAGGCCUGCCACCUCCUACUACCUAAGGGCCCAUUUUCAUCUGAUAUCAUCCCCCAGAAACAAACUCAUGCUGACUUCCAUGUUUUUUUUAGAUUAGAUACAUGGAGAAUUUUCCUUUCCCUUAGAAUUAAAAUCCUGCAUUCUAAUUUUCAGUAAGCUUUUUUAUUUCUGAAUAAUUUUAAAUUUAAAGAGAAGUUGCAAAGAUAGUAUAGAAUGUUCCCUUAUACCUGUUUUUAUUUAGAGUGAUGUUCCCAGGAGAAAUGAUAAUGCAGCAAUGGACAAGAACAGGAACAAGAGACAGUCUUACCAUCUUCUUACAAUUUAUAGAUGGGACAGUGGAAAGAGAAGCCACAUCGGGGUUGGGCAUGCAGAGACCUGGUCCUAAAUCUGUGUGACUUUUGCGAAGUCCUUUUGCCUCACAGAGCUCUAGGUUCUUAUCUGUCAAACAGGAACCAGACCAUCAGAUCCGUAGAGAUCCAGCCAAUGAAGGAGACUUCGAAAACUACACAUUGCCAUGUCAAUGUGAGGUUGCUGGAUGGUUAUGACAAGAAAUCACAUUAAAUUCACUGGGGUAACAUUGUUCAUGAAACAGGAUAAUGUGUUUCAGUGAUGAACCACCCAUGGCCUUACUACAGACAUAUUUCCACUUUGAAAAGGUGUGUGAGUGUACGUGUCUGUGUGUGAGGCAGAGAUUAGAAAGUAUAAGUGUGUGCGUUUUCAUUUUACACAUCUUACAUUUUCCUUUAAUCUGUUUGAAAGCCUGUUUUGUUUGUGGCUUCCAUUCCUGGAAGUCCCAUGAGUUGUUAGUGGUGAAGAUGGAACAGAUGUGUCCAACCCGGGGGACUCCUGCCCUCAGGGACUGAGCAGCUGCAAACCUCUCUCUCAUCUGAUUCCACUGUUUCUUCCACAUGUACACAUCAUGAGAAACAUUGUUCAAUCAUAUCUUCCCUUAAAUCAACUCAUAUGCUUAUUUACAUGAAUUUACCUAAAACAGAAACUUGAUAUCACUUCUGUAAAUGAAAAAAUUAAACUUUCUGGCUUUAAAUAAAGGAUAA
rnacentral:lncRNA from 1 species